rnacentral:rRNA from 1 species
AACGCGAAGAACCUUACCUGGGCUCGAACGGCUUUGGAAACUCCUUGGAAACAGGGAUUUCCCGCAAGGGACCGGAGUCGAGGUGCUGCAUGGCUGUCGUCAGCUCGUGUCGUGAGAUGUUGGGUUAAGUCCCGCAACGAGCGCAACCCUUGUCCUGUGUUGGCAUGCGUUUAGCAAUAAGCGCGCAACUCUCAGGAGACCGCCAGCGAUAAGCUGGAGGAAGGUGGGGAUGACGUCAAGUCAUCAUGGCCUUUAUGUCCAGGGCCACACACGUGCUACAAUGGGCGGUACAAAGCGUCGCCAACCCGCGAGGGGGAGCUAAUCGCCAAAAACCGUCCUCAGUUCGGAUUGCAGGCUGCAACUCGCCUGCAUGAAGCUGGAAUCGCUAGUAAUGCUAUAUCAGAACGAUAGCGUGAAUACGUUCCCGGGCCUUGUA